GCGUCCACAUUGAAGUCACCGGUCUGUCGUUGAUCAUAGGUGAUUGGCGCGGCGCUGAUGAACGAUCUUGAUAAAAUAUCUGUAAAAUAUUACAAAUAUUUUAAUAUAUAUGAAACUAAUUACUUUAAAUUAGAGAAGAGAAAAGCAAGCGAUAAGAAAGGACUUUUAUCUCACGCGAGGAUCAAUUAAGAUCGUUGUACCUGGUAGCAAGAGAAGGCACACGGCGUAAAGUAGCAUCUUGCUAAAGCCCUCUGGAAGACUCCGCUCCGAAUCGGCCGAGCUGAACGAAGUCCGAUGCUCGACUGUGGGCAGAGAUUCGUUCGCUUUCUUGGCAGCUUUGGAUCGCGACGACUCGUAUAUAGAUCGAGGGAGUAUCACUGCUGGAGAGGCUUUAUUCUUCCCUGACUGUCUUUAUUAAACGAAAGACACCAAUGGAUCUUUGCAGGAAGCAAUUCUAUUGAAUUCAGAUAGAGCAGAACAUGUCGAGACGAAGGGCAGAGGAAUGGUUUCUCGAGGUCAAGGUCAUCUUGGAGGCUUCAUCGUGCAACACAAUUGAUGAAGGAAGUAAUUAAAUCG